rnacentral:rRNA from 1 species
UACGGGGGGGGGCAAGCGUUUGUUCGGAAUUACUGGGCGUAAAGGGCUCGUAGGCGGCCAACUAAGUCAGACGUGAAAUCCCUCAGCUUAACUGGGGAACUGCGUCUGAUACUGGAUGGCUUGAGUUUGGGAGAGGGAUGCGGAAUUCCAGGUGUAGCGGUGAAAUGCGCAGAUAUCAGGAGGAACACCGGUGGCGAAGGCGGUUCUCUGGGCAUUACCUGACGCUGAGGAGCGAAAGUGUGGGGAGCGAACAGG